rnacentral:rRNA from 1 species
UACAGAGGUCCCAAGCGUUGUUCGGAUUCAUUGGGCGUAAAGGGUGCGUAGGCGGCGCGGUAAGUCGGGUGUGAAAUCUCGGAGCUUAACUCCGAAACUGCAUUCGAUACUGCCGUGCUUGAGGACUGGAGAGGAGACUGGAAUUUACGGUGUAGCGGUGAAAUGCGUAGAUAUCAGGCGGAACACCCGUGGCGAAGGCGGCCAGCUGGGCCGUCCCUGACGCUGAGGCGCGAAGGCGUGGGGAGCGAACGGG